UCUCUCUCUCUCCCUCCAGUUGUCUCCGUUCCCGUUCGACCAGGUGAAGGCGGAGUCGGAGCGUUUCUCCAACGCCGACCUGGUCUGGUGUCAGGAGGAGCACAAGAAUCAGGGUUACUACGACUACGUGAAGCCUCGCAUCAGGACCACGAUCCAGAGAGCCAAGCCUGUCUGGUACGCUGGUAGAGACCCGGCGGCGGCUCCGGCUACAGGAAACAAAAACACUCACCUGACGGAGCUGAAGCGUUUAUUGGACAACGCCUUCGGCCUGGACGCGUUCAAAGAUCAGCAGUAGACCUCUGACCUGGAAUAAACCCUCACCUGUCUGACCUUUGA